rnacentral:rRNA from 1 species
UACGUAGGUGACAAGCGUUAUCCGGAAUUACUGGGCGUAAAGCGUGCGCAGGCGGUGAUGUAAGACAGGUGUGAAAUCCCCGGGCUUAACCUGGGAACUGCAUUUGUGACUGCAUCGCUGGAGUGCGGCAGAGGGGGAUGGAAUUCCGCGUGUAGCAGUGAAAUGCGUAGAUAUCUGGAGGAAUACCGGUGGCGAAGGCGGCAUCCUGGCCGAGAUUGCGCUGAGGAGCGAAAGCUAGGGGAGCAAACGGG